UCCUUGGUGGCUCAGACAGUAAAGCAUCUGCCUGCAAUGCAAGAGACCCAGGUUUGAUCCCUGGGUAGGGAA
rnacentral:tRNA from 1 species